AUUGAACGCUGGCGGCAGGCCUGACACAUGCAAGUCGAGCGGAUGAAGGGAGCUUGCUCCUGGAUUCAGCGGCGGACGGGUGAGUAAUGCCUAGGAAUCUGCCUGGUAGUGGGGGAUAACGUCCGGAAACGGGCGCUAAUACCGCAUACGUCCUGAGGGAGAAAGUGGGGGAUCUUCGGACCUCACGCUAUCAGAUGAGCCUAGGUCGGAUUAGCUAGUUGGUGGGGUAAAGGCCUACCAAGGCGACGAUCCGUAACUGGUCUGAGAGGGUGAUCAGUCACACUGGAACUGAGACACGGUCCAGACUCCUACGGGAGGCAGCAGUGGGGAAUAUUGGACAAUGGGCGAAAGCCUGAUCCAGCCAUGCCGCGUGUGUGAAGAAGGUCUUCGGAUUGUAAAGCACUUUAGUUGGGAGGAAGGGCAGUAAGUUAAUACCUUGCUGUUUUGACGUUACCAACAGAAUAAGCACCGGCUAACUUCGUG
rnacentral:rRNA from 1 species